rfam:Zootermopsis nevadensis contig28851, whole genome shotgun sequence.
GCCACGGUGGUCUAACAGUUAGAAUGCUGGCCUUGUAAUCCUGGGGUCUCGGGUUCGAUUCCCGGCGGUGCCC